rnacentral:lncRNA from 1 species
UCGGAGAUGGUGAUGGUGCUCGUCAUGAAGAUCCUUUCCAUAGGCUAGAUAACGAUAACUGUCUUUCUAGCGUAUCCAUUGUGUCGUUGUCCAUCUGGAUUCUGGAAAGAUUGUCUGGAUUGGUUACCGUGCAUGUACUAUACAUACCUGAUACCGUGCUUACGGCCAUUGCUAUCUAUUAUAUGACGGCGCUGAACCUCCCGGUUGAGGUGAUGAAGAAGAUUGAUGCCCUCCGACGGGCAUUCUUGUGGGCUGGUUGUGACAAAGUCACUGGUGGAAAAUGCAAAAUUAAUUGGGAGCAAGUCUGCAAGCCAAAACUUCAUGGUGGCCUUGGCGUUCUCAAUCUGAAAAAAUUUGCAUCUGCUCUGCGCAUUCGUUGGCUCUGGGGUGAGUGGCUUACUCCCACCAAGCCCUGGGUGGGACUAGGGACGCCGUGCAACCGACAGGAUAGAGACAUCUUUGCGGCCUCCACAAAAGUCGUCGUGGGCGAUGGUACACGUGCCUUUUUUUGGGAGUCUGCUUGGCUUGAUGGUUUGCGACCCAAGGACAUUGCGCCCAAAAUUUUUGAGCUGUCACAAAGAAGGAACUGCACGGUCCAGAAAGCGCUCCUCAACAAUUUUUGGGUGUCUCAGGUGAAGAUCUCUCAGGGCAUGACUGUUGACCAUCUUCAUGAGUUCGUCAACCUAUGGGAGAAGCUAUCUCAUGUUCAGCUAAUUCCUGACAUGCCAGACUCCAUCAUUUGGAAGCUCACCAAGGAUGGUCACUAUUCUGCAGCAACGGCUUACAGUGCGCAGUUUCUCGGUUUAGUUGACUCGGACUUGCCUCAAAUUGUUUGGGCAACUUGGGCCCCCCCAAAAUGCAAGUUUUUCGCUUGGCUAGUCAUCAACAAUAGAAUCUGGACGGCAGACCGGCUUCAGAAGCGAGGGUGGCCUAAUUGUAACAUGUGCCCCCUAUGCAAGCAAGUACAGGAAUCGGCGGCUCGUCUGCUCUUCAAAUGCCGCCACACGGUUAGAGUAUGGAACAUGAUUAAAGCGUGGCUUGGCCUUCAUGACAUUCACCCGCAGAACUGGGCCAUGGUUGACACGGUGAAGAGCUGGUGGAGCGCCACCGCUUCCAACACGACGCAAUCUCGACGACCGCUUACCUCCUUAUGAUGCUCGUCUCAUGGGAAAUUUGGAAAGAGCGGAAUGCUAGGGUAUUCCGUAAUGUCGCAGUGCCUGUUGGGGUUUUAGUAGCUAGAAUCAAAGACGAGACGACGCUAUGGUGUCUGGCCGGUGCGAAACAUUUGUGUAAUAUCAUGCCGUGAGAGUGAUACGUUGUAUUUGGCCUUUGGCCAAGACCCCUGAGACUCCUUCUUAUUCAAUGAAAAUGGCAAAUCUUUUGCCUUGUUUCAAAAAAAAAAAAUACCUGAUACGGCCGCGAUGCUGCUGGAACUUGGUUUUAUCUAGCGUCAUUGAGAAUGUCCUCUCUUGUCUCUUCCCUUUGAUGUGAAGCUAGUGUGUGUACCACUGAUAAUGUCAGGUUCAUGAAA